CAGGUGGUGGUAAUGGGCUGGGGAGAAGCACCUGCCGAAGUGGGCGGUGCAUCCCAGUUGUCAGAGUGCGACAGCAACUUUAAAUGGAAAGUGCUUUCAGAGAAGCCUGGGGACGGAUGUCCACCAUGAUGCCACGUACAUGCUACAAGCCAGAGGAAGCAGGUCCAGCUGAAGGGAAGAACAAUGUGCUAAGAACGGAUGGACAGACCCAGACAAUCUCUUGUGUGGUGGCCAGAAGGGUUUGUGGAGGCUUGCAGGACGUGAGAGAUGUAACUGAAAACUGGGUUUCUGGAAGGCUGGACUGCUCAGGAAUGCUGUGGCGAAGGAAUCAAAGUCUGGAAGGAAUUCAGAGAAAGGAGUUGUCUGGAAUGUUCUGUUCCAGAUACCUGUCCUGGACUACCUCCCAGUCCUUUAGAACAUUAUAGAUUAAUAUUUCUUUUUAUUACAA